AUUGAACGCUGGCGGAAUGCUUUACACAUGCAAGUCGAACGGUAGGAGGGGGCCAACCCCUUGAGAGUGGCGAACGGGUGAGUAAUAUAUCGGAACGUGCCCAGUCGUGGGGAUAACGUAGCGAAAGUUACGCUAAUACCGCAUACGAUCUAAGGAUGAAAGCGGGGGAUCGCAAGACCUCGCGCGAUUGGAGCGGCCGAUAUCAGAUUAGGUAGUUGGUGAGGUAAAGGCUCACCAAGCCAACGAUCUGUAGCUGGUCUGAGAGGACGACCAGCCACACUGGAACUGAGACACGGUCCAGACUCCUACGGAGGCAGCAGGUGGGGAAUUUUUGGACAAUGGACGCAAGUCUGAU
rnacentral:rRNA from 1 species